GUCCACGCCGUAAACGAUGGAUACUAGUUGUUCGGUAGCAAUACUGAGUGACUAAGCGAAAGUGAUAAGUAUCCCACCUGGGGAGUACGUUCGCAAGAAUGAAACUCAAAGGAAUUGACGGGGGCCCGCACAAGCGGUGGAGCAUGUGGUUUAAUUCGAUGAUACGCGAGGAACCUUACCAGGGCUUAAAUGUAGUUUGACCGCUUAGGAAACUAGGCUUUCGCAAGACAAAUUACAAGGUGCUGCAUGGUUGUCGU
rnacentral:rRNA from 1 species